AGGUCAGGGCGAUGCAACCGGAGGACUCAUAAUCCUUGGGUCGCGGGUUCGAGCCCCGCACGGC
rnacentral:tRNA from 1 species